GAUGAACGCUGGCGGCGUGCCUAAUACAUGCAAGUCGAGCGAACAGACCAGGCGCUUGCUCCUCUGACGUUAGCGGCGGACGGGUGAGUAACACGUGGAUAACCUACCUAUAAGACUGGGAUAACUUCGGGAAACCGGAGCUAAUACCGGAUAAUAUAUUGAACCGCAUGGUUCAAUAGUUAAAGUCGGUUUUUCUGUCACUUAUAGAUGGAUCCGCGUCGCAUUACCUAGUUGGUAAGGUAACGGAUUACCAAGGCGAGGAUGGGUAGCCGACCCGAGCGGGUGGUUGCCCACACGGGAUGUGAGGCAGGGCACAGACUCUUACGGGAGGACGCGGUAGAGAAUCUUACGCGAGGGGGGAGAGCCGGACGGUGGAACGCGGCGUGAGUGAUGAAGGUGUCAGGCUGGUAGAGCUCUGUAAUUAGGAGAGAAGUAAUGUGUAAGUAACUAGGCAGGUAUUGACGGUACCUGCUCAGAAAGCCACGGCUAACUACGUG
rnacentral:rRNA from 1 species